UUUAGCCCCUCUUGUAUCUUCAGUGUCUAGUCAAUCUCUUGGUUCACCAGAGGCCUUGACAUAUACG
ensembl:misc_RNA